rnacentral:rRNA from 1 species
CUGGCUCAGGACGAACGCUGGCGGCGUGCUUAACACAUGCAAGUCGAACGCUGAAGCCCAGCUUGCUGGGUGGAUGAGUGGCGAACGGGUGAGUAACACGUGGGUAAUCUGCCCUGUACUCUGGGAUAAGCCUGGGAAACUGGGUCUAAUACCGGAUAGGACACACUGCCGCAUGGUGGUGUGUGGAAAGCUCCGGCGGUACAGGUUGAGCCCGCGGCCUAUCAGCUUGUUGGUGGGGUGAUGGCCUACCAAGGCGACGACGGGUAGCCGGCCUGAGAGGGUGACCGGCCACACUGGGACUGAGACACGGCCCAGACUCCUACGGGAGGCAGCAGUGGGGAAUAUUGCACAAUGGGCGCAAGCCUGAUGCAG